UGCGUAGGCGGAAUGAUAAGUUAGUGGUGAAAGCCCCCGGCUCAACCGGGGAACUGCCAUUAAUACUGUCAUUCUUGAGUAUAGUUGAAGUGGGCGGAAUGUAUCAUGUAGCGGUGAAAUGCUUAGAUAUGAUACAGAACACCGAUAGCGUAGGCAGCUUGCUAAACUAUAACUGACGCUCAGGCACGAAAGCGUGGGGAGCAAACAGGAUUGAUACCCUGGUAGUCC
rnacentral:rRNA from 1 species